UCACAGCUGCUGGUCAAAGGACUGUAAGUCUAACAUUUAUCAUCCUAACACUUUCUGAAUAGUGAUCUCAGAGAGACCUUCCUCAGUUGUGAACUUUGCAGUGCGAUUUCUCCCUGUCGAGAUGGAAGCAAAUUUAUACUGAAAAUCUAAUUUCAAUUUCUGUUAAAGUUGUAAAAGGAACUUCUAGAAGAGGAGUCAGGAAAGUGGAUCAUACUAUCUCCACUCACAUAAAAUGGCAACUGCUAUGAAAUACCAUUACCCCUCAGGCAAUAUCCCAUGGCCAUGACAUCCACAACUGAGGAAAAUAAUAAUCCUCAUAUGGACCCUGGUGUCCAGCCUGGCACUAAGCUAAAGAAUGAAAGCAGCCAGCCAAGCUGUCCUCCCAGUGAGGAGAGGCAGCUAACUCCUCUGAGCAUCUGUCUAAGACACCAGACUGCCAAAAUAAAC